rnacentral:rRNA from 1 species
AACGAACGCUGGCGGCAUGCCUAACACAUGCAAGUCGAACGAGACCUUCGGGUAUAGUGGCGCACGGGUGCGUAACGCGUGGGAACCUGCCCUUAGGUUCGGAAUAACUCCCCGAAAGGGGUGCUAAUACCGGAUAAUGUCUUCGGACCAAAGAUUUAUCGCCUUUGGCUGGGCCCGCGUUGGAUUAGCUAGUUGGUAGGGUAAAAGCCUACCAAGGCGACGAGCCAUAGCUGGUCUGAGAGGAUGAUCAGCCACACUGGGACUGAGACACGGCCCAGACUCCUACGGGAGGCAGCAGUGGGGAAUAUUGGACCAUGGGCGAAAGCCUGAUCCAGCAAUGCCGCGUGAGUGAUGAAGGCCUUAGGGUUGUAAAGCUCUUUUACCCGGGAUGAUAAUGACAGUACCGGGAGAAUAAGCCCCGGCUAACUCCGUG